CCAAAUCGUGAUUUCAACCUGAACCCCCAAACCUACUCCCAUCGAUACUUCUUGUCCGGCGAUUCCAACCUCUCAAGCGAGGAGCGAGCAACUUCCUCCACCGUUUCCCGUCCAUUCCUGUCCGGCGAGCAACUUCCCGUUGAUACCUCUCGUCCAUUCCUGUCCGGCGAGAAACUUGCGGCUACAUCUCCAGUUCUGCCUGGCAAGGUUAAGCUUCCAUCCGGCGAACGGCGACGACUUCGGUUAGGCUUCCAUCCGACUCAGGUUAGACUCCACAACCCAUCUUUGGGUUCUGAAUUUUUUUCAAUGUUUAAUCAAUAUCGAUUUAGGUUUUCCAUUUCAAAAUUCUUUAGGUUUUCCUUUUCACGAAAUUAAAAUCUCAACUAGUAUAUCCUGAAAUCAUCACCUAUUUUCCCCAAUACAUGUCCCCCAAUAUAGUUUAGAGUUUAGAAAAAUAAAUUGCGUAUUUCCCCAAUACGCCAUUACAACUGGAGUGUUGUGGGAAUUAAGGGAUUGAUGAUUGAUUCUCUCCAUUAAUGACUCAUAAAUCCUUUAUUGCCGAACUGUAAAUUACUGUCUCAUACCAUCUGUCUAUCUAUCUAUUAGUUGAUGUUAUACGAUCUGUAACAGUUUUAUAGAACCAGAAGAGCUUGCAGAGACAACCAUGUCUGACUUUUCCCUCCAGCAUACACUGGAAACGAAAUGUCCAUUGUCAUAAGCACUCUCUUGGUUGGAUAUUGGAUCUAUAGAACUAAACUUGUGUGAAGUUACCAAAUUUCUGUUAAUAAUUAAGCAAGAAGCUAAAAAUAAAAUGAUUUCUUAUUAAUAAAUUACAAUCAGUUUUUAAAGUUUAAUGACACUUGAAAUUGAAAAUAUAUAGUUUUAGUUUGUAGAUAUAUGACAUUGUAGUGUAUAAAAUAGAAAGAAUGAGAAGAAAAAUCAUACUUCAUUGAUGUUCCAAAGUUUGACAGGAACAAUAUGAAAUCCGUAUUAGUAUUAAAACACUAAACUAAGUAUUACUCCUUAAUUAAAACUUAAUUAAACUAAGUAUUAGGCAUAGUUUUAAUUAAGUUAAGUAUUGAUAUUACUAAUAAAGUUUAUUUAAGGUUAAUGGACCAGGCCCAGAACUCAGAUCCGGCCCAGAUAUGAAAUAAAGAUGGUGAAGGAUCAAGUUGCAAAUCUUAAUUAGUUUCGGG
rnacentral:lncRNA from 1 species